GACGAACGCUGGCGGCGUGCUUAACACAUGCAAGUCGAACGGACAGGCCCUGCUUUUGUGGGUUUCUCGUGUGGCGAACGGGUGAGUAACACGUGUGUAACCUCCCCUUGACUUUGGGAUAACUUCACGAAACUCGGGCUCUUACCCGAUAUGAGCUCCUGCUGCAUGUUGGGGGUUGGUAAGUUUCGGCGGUUGGGGAUCGACUCGCGGCUUAUCCGCUUCUUUGUGGGGUAGUUGCUUACCAAGGCUUUGACGGGUAGCCGGCCUGAGAGGGUUGCCGGCCACAUGGGGACUGAGAUACGGCCCAGAAGCGUACGGGAGGCAGCAGUGGGGAAUAUUGCAGAAUGGGGGGAAGCCUGAGGCAGAAACGCCGCGUGCGGGAUGACGGCCUUCGGGUUGUAAACCGCUUUCGCCUGAGACGAAGCGUGAGUGACGGUAAUGGGUAAAGAAGCACCGGCUAACUACGUG
rnacentral:rRNA from 1 species